rnacentral:lncRNA from 1 species
GAUCAUGACGCUUAGAAUUCCCCUCUCAACCACUACAAAUCUCAAAUAUCAGUUGAAAAUUCUAUUGUCCUACUUCCAACCAUGGUUCAACAAUUUAGAACUAGCUUCUGAGGAUGCUGGCAUCACCAUCAUCAAGGAACAUGUACACCAAGCAACUGAUAAAUUUAUAGCCCUUAACUUCCUACAUUUCCUCCUUGAACCUUCCAAAUAAAGUCCAUCAGUCAUAGACCUCAAAGAAACCUGAUCUGCAAUGAAAUUCUGAUAAAAUUAGAAUUCUUUUCUAUAAGCCUUACGCCCACCUAACCUUUGAUGCGACCUAGUUAAUGCCCAUACAAACCGCCA